rnacentral:tRNA from 1 species
GGCUGUGUGGUCUAGUGGUAUGAUUCUCGCUUAGGGUGCGAGAGGUCCCGAGUGCAAUUCUCGGCACAGUCC